rnacentral:rRNA from 1 species
AACGAACGCUGGCGGCAGGCUUAACACAUGCAAGUCGAGCGCCCCGCAAGGGGAGCGGCAGACGGGUGAGUAACGCGUGGGAACAUACCCUUUGGUUCGGAAUAACUCAGGGAAACUUGAGCUAAUACCGGAUACGUCCGUAAGGAGAAAGAUUUAUCGCCAAAGGAUUGGCCCGCGUCCGAUUAGCUAGUUGGUGAGGUAACGGCUCACCAAGGCUACGAUCGGUAGCUGGUCUGAGAGGAUGAUCAGCCACAUUGGGACUGAGACACGGCCCAAACUCCUACGGGAGGCAGCAGUGGGGAAUUUUGGACAAUGGGCGCAAGCCUGAUCCAGCAAUGCCGCGUGCAGGAUGAAGGCCUCGGUUGUAAC